rnacentral:tRNA from 1 species
GGACCCAUAGCUCAGCGGCUAGAGCAUCUGAUUCCAGAUCAGCUGCCUCCAGAAGGUCAUCCGUUCAAAUCGGGUUGGGUUCA